UACGUAGGGGGCAAGCGUUGUCCGGAAUCAUUGGGCGUAAAGAGCGCGUAGGCGGCCCUGUAAGUCCGCUGUGAAAGUCAAGGGCUCAACCCUUGGAUGCCGGUGGAUACUGCAGGGCUAGAGUCCGGAAGAGGCGAGUGGAAUUCCUGGUGUAGCGGUGAAAUGCGCAGAUAUCAGGAGGAACACCGAUGGCGAAGGCAGCUCGCUGGGAUGGUACUGACGCUGAGGCGCGAAAGCGUGGGGAGCGAACAGG
rnacentral:rRNA from 1 species